GUAGGUGGCAAGCGUUGUCCGGAAUUAUUGGGCGUAAAGCGCGCGCAGGCGGUUCUUUAAGUCUGAUGUGAAAGCCCACGGCUCAACCGUGGAGGGUCAUUGGAAACUGGAGAACUUGAGUACAGAAGAGGAAAGCGGAAUUCCACGUGUAGCGGUGAAAUGCGUAGAGAUGUGGAGGAACACCAGUGGCGAAGGCGGCUUUCUGGUCUGUAACUGACGCUGAGGCGCGAAAGCGUGGGGGAGCAAACAGGAUUAGAUACCCUGGUAGUCCACGCCGUAAACGAUGAGUGCUAAGUGUUAGGGGGUUUCCGCCCCUUAGUGCUGCAGCUAACGCAUUAAGCACUCCCGCCUGGGAGUACGACCGCAAGGUUG
rnacentral:rRNA from 1 species